GACGAACGCUGGCGGCGCGCCUAACACAUGCAAGUCGAGCGGGGAUUGUGGAGAGCUUGCUCAAAGCAAUUCUAGCGGCGGACGGGUGAGUAACGCGUGAGCAACCUGCCUAUCACAGGGGAAUAACGCACCGAAAGGUGUGCUAAUACCGCAUGAGACCACAGGACCGCAUGGUCAAGGGGUCAAAGAUUUAUCGGUGAUAGAUGGGCUCGCGUCUGAUUAGCUAGUUGGUGAGGUAACGGCCCACCAAGGCGACGAUCAGUAGCCGACCUGAGAGGGUGAUCGGCCACAUUGGAACUGAGAAACGGUCCAAACUCCUACGGGAGGCAGCAGUGGGGAAUAUUGGGCAAUGGGCGCAAGCCUGACCCAGCAACGCCGCGUGAAGGAAGAAGGUCUUCGGGGUCGUAAACGUUCUAAUCCUUGGUGAAGAUAAUGACGGUAGCCAAGAAGGGAAGCCCCCGGACUAACGUACGUG
rnacentral:rRNA from 1 species